rnacentral:rRNA from 1 species
UACGUAGGGUGCAAGCGUUGUCCGGAAUUAUUGGGCGUAAAGAGCUCGUAGGCGGUUUGUCGCGUCCGCUGUGAAAACUCGGGGCUUAACCCCGGGCCUGCAGUGGGUACGGGCAGACUAGAGUGCGGUAGGGGAGACUGGAAUUCCUGGUGUAGCGGUGGAAAUGCGCAGAUAUCAGGAGGAACACCGGUGGCGAAGGCGGGUCUCUGGGCCGUAACUGACGCUGAGGAGCGAAAGCGUGGGGAGCGAACAGG